rnacentral:rRNA from 1 species
CCUACGGGCGGCUGCAGUGGGGAAUAUUGCACAAUGGGCGCAAGCCUGAUGCAGCCAUGCCGCGUGUGUGAAGAAGGCCUUCGGGUUGUAAAGCACUUUCAGCGGGGAGGAAGGCGGUGAGGUUAAUAACCUCAUCGAUUGACGUUACCCGCAGAAGAAGCACCGGCUAACUCCGUGCCAGCAGCCGCGGUAAUACGGAGGGUGCAAGCGUUAAUCGGAAUUACUGGGCGUAAAGCGCACGCAGGCGGUCUGUCAAGUCGGAUGUGAAAUCCCCGGGCUCAACCUGGGAACUGCAUUCGAAACUGGCAGGCUAGAGUCUUGUAGAGGGGGGUAGAAUUCCAGGGGUAGCGGUGAAAUGCGUAGAGAUCUGGAGGAAUACCGGUGGCGAAGGCGGCCCCCUGGACAAAGACUGACGCUCAGGUGCGAAAGCGUGGGGAGCAAACAGGAUUAGAUACCCCAGUAGUC